AGAAAUUUUUGUACAUUUUGGGACUACGUAUGCGCUAUUCGAUACUGAGCAUGCGCUAUUUAAUACUGCGCAUGCGCUAUUCGAUACUGCGCAUACACCGAACCUAACCUAAUCUAACGUAACCUAAUCUUACCACAAUGUCUCGAAAACGAUAAGACAUUCAGCUCUGAAACCAACUUUAAUCGGUUUCUUGAAGUCAAUUUAGGUUAUAUACCGAACCUGAGUUCUCAAUUUUGGUAGGGCCCCAUUCGGAAACACAGCCUAUUUCUCAUAUCAAUUGGUACAACAUAUUUAUAUGAAGUAGGAUCUUUUUUUAAAAAAGAAAUAUAAAACAAAAUUUUUAUUGGAACUAAAUGCACGUUUAAAAUGAACUCUUGAACAGCAGAGUCUCAAACUUACAAAUUAUAUACAAUGGUAUUAACCUAAAAAUAAAUGUAUUAUUUGUAAACGGAAGAGUUUCAUAUAUUGGUAAAAUAAUUUUUAAGUAAAAGAGUUUCGUUAUUGGUACAAUAAUUUUUAAAGGAACAGUAUAAAAUUUAGAAAAAUUAAAAUAAUAUGAAGUACAAAACUAAAUUAAAAUUGGCACUCUCUUCAUGGUUCGCUGUACGAGGGUUGAGUAAAGUAGAAUUAAAUACACAGAAACUGGUUUUCAUUAAAAAAGCACAAAUAUUACAUUGAAUUAUCAUCCUUUUUUUAAAUACAAUUAUUUUAUUACAAACAAAAAUAUAUGAUAAUAGUGUAAUUAAGUGUAUUAUCUCUUAAUUUUCUACGUAUAGGAAUUUUAAUAUUUUUGAUACUUUCCUUGGUAGUACUAACAUUUUUUAAUUUUGCUUUUAAGGUACAUUUAUGAAAAGGUUGAGAACCGCUGAUUUAAAUAAUGAUAAUUUUGUUUACCUGAAAAAACAAAUUUUUAUUGUCCCACGUUAAAAAACUAAAUGAAUAAAAUUGCUGAAUGCGAGAGUAACUAAUUUAUCACCUUUACAAUAUAAAUUAAAUACCUAAUAAUUACUGCAUAAUGUAGUAAAAGAUCACACUUUUGAAUCGCAAGGGGGAAAGAAUUCAUAUACAGUAGAAUUCCAAUAAUUUGGCAUACUCGGAAUUUUGGCAAUGUCACACUAAUGAACUUCCACUUUAAUUUGGUAAAAAUGAGGAAAUUAUUAAAAAGAAAUUUUUAUCAGUACGAUUUGCUAGCAGAAUUAAAAUAAAUACAUAAAAAUAAUUUAAUUUUAUUAAUCUAUUUUCAUAGUCUAAUUACUAUGAUACAAUAGAACAUAAAGCUGUUAAAUUAUUAUAAAUAAUGUUAAGGCUGUAUUUAAAAAAAAAUCAUUCCAGAGAAUAUAUAAAGAAAAAGAAAAAAAAAAUAACCUUCACAGGGGAUAGUAGUGGUGGGGACAAAGCGCGCCCACGUAUUGGACGCCGGAUUAUCGGAACUCUACUGUACGUCAGAGCAGCGUGAAAUAAUCAUCAGAGAGACAUCAUUGAUCGCGUGUAAAAAUUAGCCACGCGUUCAAGCGACUCUGUUUAACAUAAUGUGUAAUAGAAUCGGUAACACGAUCCACGGCUGCUUUCAGAUCCCUUUGUCGCCGUACAUUUUUGCGCGAAACUCGCCUUGUUGUGCGCAUUGUUUCCUACAGACUUUCACGUCUUUGUGACUGCGUUGUGAUUCACGCGAUACAUAUUCACGAUACGAAACCCGAGCUAAGCGGUUUUUCUUUUUUUUUUUUUCACUUCGCAAACUUCUCGUCUCCGUUGGGAUGAACUUUGAUGGUCCGUUCAUCGUGCACACACGAUAGAUUCAUGUUUGGCGAGUAAACAAAACUUUAUCUAAUUCCACGUUUCUUCAUGAUAAUGAUUUAGAGUAGUUGGUCAGUCAUCGACACGAGAUUCGCUAUCGCUUCGAGCCGUGACUUUCUAUUCUUUGGCAUGAAGUAUGUAAGUAGUUGUGACGAGAAAAGAAUGAAGGAAGCAACGAGUCAAAGUGUCCCCGGAAGGUGAAUUUUCUGAUUUCGUAAUAGGGCGUUGAUUUAACCCUUUGAUUGUUAUGGAAUAUUUAUAAAUAUUCGAUUAAUGUUUUCCUUUUGGUUAUGGUUGACAUCUUUUCAUUAUAAUAUAUGCUAGCAGGAUGAAAGAAUAUUAAUACAUUACCAAGCUCGGUAAGCUCCCCAAGGAGAAUGACAAUGUGAGGGAGGUGGCCUCAAAUAUAUGGAAGCCUGUGGCCCUAUCACGUGCGUGUAAACGUUUGCGCGGGACAAUUUGAAUUGAUAUUUAUGUUAUUCAUAUUUUACAGUUAUAUACUGAAUUAUAUAAUGUUCAAAAUAUUAAAAUAUUUUUGAUAUAGUAUAAAUUACUAUAAUAUAUUAUGUUA